CUUCAAUGCCCAACACUCACUACAUUCAUUCUUCCAGUGGAAAAAAUGUCAAUUAUUUUCAAUUCAAGAUCUGCAAUUCAGUGAAAAAUGCAAUAUUUUGAAACAGGAAAUGCUAUUUAUGGGCUUUAUAAAUUUCAAUCAGUUGUGGAUGAGAUGCAUGUUUUUAUGUCAACAAAAGUGAACAGUUUAUAUUAUUUUAUUAAUCCUGUGUUACUAUUUUCUUGUCCAGCUGAAAGAUUACCGCUCAUUAUAUGAAGGCUAUGUCCCAAUGAAGUACAAA
rnacentral:misc_RNA from 1 species